AGUGAACGCUGGCGGUAGGCCUAACACAUGCAAGUCGAACGGAAGCACAGAGGAGCUUGCUCCUUGGGUGGCGAGUGGCGGACGGGAGAGGAAUAAAUCGGAAUCUACUCUGUUGUGGGGGACAAAGGAGGGAAACUUACGCCAAUACCGCAUACGACCUACGGGUUAAAGCAGGGGAUCAUCGGAUCUCGCGCGAAUGAAUGAGCAUAUGUCGGAUUAGCUAGUUGGCGGGGUAAAGGCCAACCGAGGCGACGAUCCGUAGCUGGUCUGGGAGCAUGAGCAGCCACACUGGAACUGAGACACGGUCCAGACUCCUACGGUAGGCAGCAGUGGGUAAUAUUGGACAAUGGGCGCAAGCCUGAUCCAGCCAUACCGCGUGGGUGAAGAAGGCCUUCGGGUUGUAAAGCCCUUUUGUUGGGAAAGAAAUCCAUCUGGUUAAUACCCGGGUGGGAUGACGGUACCCAAAGAAUAAGCACCGGCUAACUUCGUGCCAGCCGCCGCCGUAA
rnacentral:rRNA from 1 species